UACGAAGGGGGCUAGCGUUGCUCGGAAUUACUGGGGCGUAAAGGGCGCGUAGGCGGCACUGUUAGUCAGGCGUGAAAAGUCCUGGGCUCAACCUGGGAACUGCGCUUGAUACGGCAGAGCUAGAGGAUGGAAGAGGCUCGCGGAAUUCCCAGUGUAGAGGUGAAAUUCGUAGAUAUUGGGAAGAACACCGGUGGCGAAGGCGGCGAGCUGGUCCAUUACUGACGCUGAGGCGCGACAGCGUGGGGGAGCAAAC
rnacentral:rRNA from 1 species